rnacentral:rRNA from 1 species
GUGCCAGCAGCCGCGGUAAUACGUAGGGCGCAAGCGUUAUCCGGAAUUAUUGGGCGUAAAGAGCUCGUAGGCGGUUUGUCGCGUCUGCUGUGAAAUCCCGAGGCUCAACCUCGGGCCUGCAGUGGGUACGGGCAGACUAGAGUGCGGUAGGGGAGAUUGGAAUUCCUGGUGUAGCGGUGGAAUUGCGCAGAUAUCAGGAGGAACCACCGAUGGCGAAGGCAGAUCUCUGGGGCCGUAACUGACGCUGAGGAGCGAAAGGGUGGGGAGCAAACCAGGCUUAGAUACCCUGGUAGUCC